UACGUAGGGGGCAAGGCGUUGUCCGGAUUUACUGGCGUAAAGGAGCGUGUAGGCGGCCACUCAGGUCCGUUGUGAAAACUGGGAGGCUACAACUUCCAGACGUCGACGGAAACCGCGUGGCUAGAGUCCGGAAGAGGAGAGUGGAAUUCCUGGUGUAGCGGUGAAAUGCGCAGAUAUCAGGAAGAACACCGAUGGCGAAGGCAGCCCCCUGGGUCAAGCAUUGAACGCCUCAUGCACCGAAAAGCAUGGGGGAGCAAAACAGG
rnacentral:rRNA from 1 species